UACGUAGGGGGCAAGCGUUGUCCGGAUUUAUUGGGCGUAAAGCGCUCGCAGGUGGUUCGUCGCGUCGUGCGUGAAAGACCCCGGCUCAACUGGGGGAGGUCGUGCGAUACGGGCGACUGGAGGCCAGUAGGGGGAUGCGGAAUUCCGGGUGUAGUGGUGGAAUGCGUAGAGAUCCGGAGGAACACCAGCGGCGAAGGCGGCAUCCUGGACUGGUCCUGACACUCAUGAGCGAAAGCGUGGGGAGCGAUCCGG
rnacentral:rRNA from 1 species